rnacentral:rRNA from 1 species
UACGGAGGGUGCAAGCAUUAAUCGGAUUUAUUGGGCGUAAAGGGCGCGUAGGCGGGGAAGAAAGUUAGAUGUGAAAGCCUGGGUCUCAAUCCCAGAACAGCAUCUAAAACUUCUUUUCUAGAGGAUGAGUGGAGAAAAUGGAAUUCCACAUGUAGCGGUGAAAUGCGUAGAUAUGUGGAGGAACACCGGUGGCGAAGGCGGUUUUCUAGCUUAGACCUGACGCUGAGGCGCGAAAGCAAGGGGAUCAAACAGG